rnacentral:rRNA from 1 species
GACGAACGCUGGCGGCGUGCCUAAUACAUGCAAGUCGAGCGAAGCGGCGGAUGCGUGAGAAACGCGUGGGGAACCUGCCAUUAAGUUUGGGAUACCAUUUGGAAACAGAUGCUAAUACCGGAUACUAAAGGAUGGACCGGCGAUGCAUUAGCUAGUUGGUAAGGUAACGGCUUACCAAGGCGAUGAUGCAUAGCCGGGUUGAGAGACUGAUCGGCCACAUUGGUACUGAGACACGGCCCAAACUCCUACGGGAGGCAGCAGUAGGGAAUCUUGCACAAUGGGCGAAAGUCUGAUAGAGCAACGCCGCGUGUAUGAAGAAGGUUUUCGGGUCGUAAAGCUCUGUUGUUGGGGAGGCGGUAAUCGACCAGAAAGUCACGGCUAACUACGUGCCAGCAGCCGCGGUAAUAC